UCCUGGCUCAGGAUGAACGCUGGCGGCGUGCCUAAUACAUGCAAGUCGAGCGAGAAUCAGUGAUGUAGAGAUUCGUCAAAGCGGAUCUGAGGAAAGCGGCGGACGGGUGAGUAACGCGUAGGCAACCUGCCCUUAGCAGAGGGAUAGCCAUUGGAAACGAUGAUUAAAACCUCAUAAUGCUGUUGAGACACAUGUUUCGACAGCCAAAGAUUUAUCGGCUAAGGAUGGGCCUGCGUCUGAUUAACUAGUUGGUGAGGUAACGGCCCACCAAGGUGACGAUCAGUAGCCGACCUGAGAGGGUGAUCGGCCACAUUGGAACUGAGACACGGUCCAAACUUCUACGGAAGGCAGCAGUAAGGAAUCUUGCACAAUGGGGGAAACCCUGAAUGCAGCAACGCCGCGUGAACGAUGAAGGCCUUAGGGUUGUAAAGUUCUGAUCUGUGGGAAGAAGAAGUGACGGUACCACAGGAGAAAGCCCCGGCUAAAUACGUGCCAGCCGCUGC
rnacentral:rRNA from 1 species